rnacentral:rRNA from 1 species
UACGUAGGCAGCGAGCGUUGUUCGGAAUUACUGGGCGUAAAGAGUGUGUAGGCGGUGCUCUAGGUUCGGUGUGAAAUCUCCUGGCUUAACUGGGAGGGUGCGCCGGAAACUGGAGUGCUUGAGCGUGGGAGAGGAAAGCGGAAUUCCUGGUGUAGCGGUGAAAUGCGUAGAGAUCAGGAGGAACACCCGUGGCGAAGGCGGCUCCUGGUCCGUUUCUGACGCUGAGACGCGAAAGCGCGGGGAGCGAACGGG